CCAAUACCAACAUUAGUGUGCGAUGGAAGGACGCUUAGGGCUAAGGGGGCUAGCGGAUGGAAGUGCUAGUCUAAGGUCGUAGGAGGUUAUACAGGCAAAUCCGUAUAACAAUACUCCGAGAACUGAAAGGCUUUUUGAAGUCUUCGGAUGGAUAGAAGAACCCCUGAUGCCGUCGAGCCAAGAAAAGUUUCUAAGUUUAGCUAAUGUUGCCCGUACCGUAAACCGACACAGGUGGGUGGGAUGAGUAUUCUAAGGCGCGUGGAAGAACUCUCUUUAAGGAACUCUGCAAAAUAGCACCGUAUCUUCGGUAUAAGGUGUGGUUAGCUUUGUAUUAGGAUUUACUCCGAAAGCAAGGAAACUUACAACAAAGAGUCCCUCCCGACUGUUUACCAAAAACACAGCACUCUGCUAACUCGUAAGAGGAUGUAUAGGGUGUGACGCCUGCCCGGUGCUCGAAGGUUAAUUGAUGGGGUUAGCAUUAGCGAAGCUCUUGAUCGAAGCCCGAGUAAACGGCGGCCGUAACUAUAACGGUCCUAAGGUAGCGAAAUUCCUUGUCGGUUAAAUACCGACCUGCAUGAAUGGCGUAACGAGAUGGGAGCUGUCUCAAAGAGGGAUCCAGUGAAAUUGUAGUGGAGGUGAAAAUUCC
rnacentral:rRNA from 1 species